GCUGAGGUCACUUCCAGUUUUUCGUGGGGCACUUCCGGUUUAAAAACGUCACUUCCUGUUUAUUUGGGUCACUUCCGGUUUGAUUAGGGGCACUUCCGGUUUACCUGAGGUCACUUCCGGUUUAUUUGGGGUCAUUUCCGGUUUACCUGAGGUCACUUCUGGUUUAUUUGGGGUCACUUCCGGUUCAUUUGGGGUCACUUCCGGUUCAUUCUGGGUUCAUUGGAGGCACUUCUGGGUCAAUUUAAGAUGGCCGCCACACUGGAAGUGGGGGUCAAGGGUUGAAUUGUGUUAGCAUAGUGGAAGUGGGGGUGAAGGGGGUGAAUAUGGUAAGCAUAAGGUGAACAAAGUGAAUGAAGUUGCAAUGGGUUGAAUCGGUUGAAAAAUGUA